ACUGGACAUUAACCAACCAUAAUGAAUACACUGUUGCGUUUUGUUGCUCUUUUGGAAAAAAGAAAACCUGGCUUCUUAGAGCUGUUGUAUUUUAUUUUUCUAUAAAGAAGGAAUUAAUUUUAGUCUUUCUUUUUGGUUUAAAAUGUUGUUCUUUGCUUUUUUCCGCCCUACAAUUUAAAAGGAAACAUUUGUCUGUUGAGAAAAGAAAUGAUAAUUAUAGACUAAAAAUUGUUUCUAUUCUGAUUUGAAAAAGUGACAAAAAAAAUUCUAUCGCACAGAUGGGGCCCUGCUGACAGAGGGUGUUUAGCAACGAGGCCCUGGGCCAGUUUGGGGCUCAGAAUGGCGUUGAAGGGGACUUUGGACUUGGUGUAUUGUUGGGCCAAGGGUCUGUUUUUAGGGCUGUAGUCCUUCCUGUGGGCCCAUGAAAAUGCAUCACCCUUCUGUGGUUCACUAGGAAGAGAACUGUGUCUAUGGGGAGGUGGCCUCUGGGUGGCAUGACCCAUGUCAGGUGAGCUGUGUGCAAGAAAAGCCAGGAGCUUUCUCGAACGCGUCUGAGCCCAAAGAGCCACCAGCUUUACUCCUUCGGCCUAGAGCUCUGCCUUUCAGCCUCACACAAUUACAAUUACUCCAAGUCUUUCAAUCGAUAUAGCAGGAAACUGAUUAGACUGUGAAAUUAAACUAAUAAUGCCUCGCUAUUAACCUUCAAUCAAUGGGGAAUGAGCUCAGAGGGAAGGCUAUUUCCUGGAUCCAUAUCCACCUCUAGAUACACGUAUGUGCUUUUUUGAAGAAACUUCAAGGUGUGCACACACACUGGCCACCUUUCUGUUGUGCAGAACUGUCCUGGUUCACAGCGCUGUCUCUGGCCACCCUGGCGAGGCUGACAGCAUGGAGUGUUGUAUGGGGGUCAAGAUAGGGAAACACAGAUCUGAAGGUUGGCUGCAUCAGGGAAGACUAUGCUUUGUGAUGACUGGAGACUCUUCUCAAAGCUUCUGCGGUGGGAGUGAUCCCCAUGGGUUCCUGCCCAACCUUGGCUACCCCUUAUCACUAGAGACAUGUUUUUGAGGUCAAAACCAGGCUUAUUCUGUCUUGUGAUGCUAUAAUGCUAUAUAUACACUAGAUAUAUGAUAUAUAUAUACAUAUACAUGUAUAUGUAUAUAUGUGUGUGUGUGUGUUUUAUAUAUGUGUAUGUAAUAUUUAUAAUAUAUGUAUAUAUGUAUAUUUUAUAUAAUUGCAUAUGUGUGUAUGUGUGUAUGUAUAUAAUAGAUAGCAUGAAAGCAUGUAUAUAAAUGUAUACAUGUACAUACAUAUAUGCAUAUAUGUAUAUUGUGUUAUUUUAUACAUAUAUAUAUACACACACACACACACACGCACAUGUCCAUGCACACACACACACAUACAUAGUUCUAGUAUCAAGGUACCAGGUGUCAGGUGAGGACCUUCAUGCUGUGUCAUCCUAUGGCACAAGGCAGAAGGGCAGGAGAGCUUUCACAGGGAGUUGGAAGAACAGAAAGGCAUCAUUUUGUCUAAUAAUGAUUAGUCCACUGCAGCAAUGAUGUCAUUAAUCUCCUCCUAAGAGCAAAGCCCUCAUGACCCAAACACAGCCCAGUAGGUUCCACCUCCCAACACACUGAGGCAUAAAUGUCUAACAUCCAACCGUUAGCAAGUACCUUCAAACUGUAGCUUUGGGUCGCCUGUUAACCGAGUAUGAACCCAAGUGUGUUGGGUUCUGCAUGGGUAGGGGAAUUGGGUCAUGGCAGUAUCUUCAUCCCAAAGGACCCUUUGCGUUCAGCUUCAGAAAUGGCAGUAUUCCGUCCUCCUCACAUUCCUCUCCUCCUCCCUUAGCUGUCUGUCUACCCCAAGUGUACCUCAGGUGAUGGAGAGAAUGAGCAGUUGAGAGCAAGGGCGGAUGUUGUGGCUGUUAACUGAUAUACACGACUCACCACUGAGACCGAACUCGGGAAACAGCUUAUGUCCAGCCCAAAAUCCCAGCACUCAUCUUGGAGCAGCCUCCCACUCUGAGCCUGCCUCUGCAGCUCAUUGAGAUCCCUUGGUCCAGGCCCUAACCUUGAGCAAAUGACCUUUCAGUCGGGACAUAGACAACCUGAGUGGGGCCAUCACUUGCACACUACCACUGACACCUAACACAGUGUCAGGGCCUGCAUCUCAGGCAUUUCUGUGUCCUGUGAGGCCACUGUUUGUCACUCCAUAGUAGCAAGGGAGGAUCUCUGAGUCCUGGACAAGCAUCAAGGCCAGCUGAGCCACAGAAUGGUAGCCCCAUGCUUCUUUUCCUUUGCUCUGCAGUUCAUAGCCUCACCCCAGUGGACCACUGAGGGCAGUUGCUAACCCCAGUAAAUAGAGUUAACUAGGGGGGUGAUCAGGGAGUCAGUAGUUCAGUUGCCCAGAUUCUCUCAAAGGCUAGCCUUGAAUUUGCAUGGCUUUUUGUCCUCUAAUGGCCAGGACUUUCAGAAGGAAGAACGAGGGGCUAGCACGCCUCUACCACGAGCCUUCCCCCACCCCACCCCAGGUCUCUCAGCCAUUCUGUCGGUUCCACCACGGUGGAGCGUUGCCAAGGAUCAGACCCCCACUCUAAAAGUGGUGAUGGUAUUUAAUAACUAAUUACUCUAAUGAUCCUGCAGAAAUGCUGGAGACCUGUUUUAGGAGAGAUGUCAAUUAGAGCCAUCUGCACGGUGAAUAAAGGAGCCCUACCCCAGCUGUACUGUUGAAACAUGUUAGCGUUUUCCUACCAGCGGCCAUAUGGUACUUAACGAAAGUGAAUUGUUCACACUGCACAGCCCGCGCCUCCUGAUGAAUACUAGCAUUUUGUUUUGGAAAAUAGUUCCUCCAUCGUGUGGAAUAUUUUUCAAUGCAGUAAACAGAAAGUUGGAAGCUGGCAAGCCUCGGAAUGAAGAAGAAG
rnacentral:lncRNA from 1 species